CGGCGGACGGGUGAGUAACACGUGGGUAACCUACCUAUAAGACUGGGAUAACUCCGGGAAACCGGGGCUAAUACCGGAUAAUAUAUUGAACCGCAUGGUUCAAUAGUGAAAGACGGUUUUGCUGUCACUUAUAGAUGGAUCCGCGCCGCAUUAGCUAGUUGGUAAGGUAACGGCUUACCAAGGCAACGAUGCGUAGCCGACCUGAGAGGGUGAUCGGCCACACUGGAACUGAGACACGGUCCAG
rnacentral:rRNA from 1 species